rnacentral:rRNA from 1 species
GAUGAACGCUGGCGGCGUGCCUAAUACAUGCAAGUCGAGCGAACAGACGAGGAGCUUGCUCCUCUGACGUUAGCGGCGGACGGGUGAGUAACACGUGGAUAACCUACCUAUAAGACUGGGAUAACUUCGGGAAACCGGAGCUAAUACCAGAUAAUAUAUUGAACCGCAUGGUUCAAUAGUGAAAGACGGUUUUGCUGUCACUUAUAGAUGGAUCCGCGCCGCAUUAGCUAGUUGGUAAGGUAACGGCUUACCAAGGCAACGAUGCGUAGCCGACCUGAGAGGGUGAUCGGCCACACUGGAACUGAGACACGGUCCAGACUCCUACGGGAGGCAGCAGUAGGGAAUCUUCCGCAAUGGGCGAAAGCCUGACGGAGCAACGCCGCGUGAGUGAUGAAGGUCUUCGGAUUGUAAAACUCUGUUAUUAGGGAAGAACAAAUGUGUAAGUAACUAUGCACGUCUUGACGGUACCUAAUCAGAAAGCCACGGCUAACUACGUG